rnacentral:rRNA from 1 species
UCUGAAAGGAAGAUUAAUACAAGAUGGCAUCAUGAGUCCGCAUGUUCACAUGAUUAAAGGUAUUCCGGUAGACGAUGGGGAUGCGUUCCAUUAGAUAGUAGGCGGGGUAACGGCCCACCUAGUCUUCGAUGGAUAGGGGUUCUGAGAGGAAGGUCCCCCACAUUGGAACUGAGACACGGUCCAAACUCCUACGGGAGGCAGCAGUGAGGAAUAUUGGUCAAUGGGCGAGAGCCUGAACCAGCCAAGUAGCGUGAAGGAUGACUGCCCUAUGGGUUGUAAACUUCUUUUAUAAAGGAAUAAAGUCGGGUAUGGAUACCCGUUUGCAUGUACUUUAUGAAUAAGGAUCGGCUAACUCCGUGCCAGCAGCCGCGGUAAUACGGAGGAUCCGAGCGUUAUCCGGAUUUAUUGGGUUUAAAGGGAGCGUAGAUGGAUGUUUAAGUCAGUUGUGAAAGUUUGCGGCUCAACCGUAAAAUUGCAGUUGAUACUGGAUAUCUUGAGUGCAGUUGAGGCAGGCGGAAUUCGUGGUGUAGCGGUGAAAUGCUUAGAUAUCACGAAGAACUCCGAUUGCGAAGGCAGCCUGCUAAGCUGCAACUGACAUUGAGGCUCGAAAGUGUGGGUAUCAAACAGGAUUAGAUACCCUGGUAGUCCACACGGUAAACGAUGAAUACUCGCUGUUUGCGAUAUACUGCAAGCGGCCAAGCGAAAGCGUUAAGUAUUCCACCUGGGGAGUACGCCGGCAACGGUGAAACUCAAAGGAAUUGACGGGGGCCCGCACAAGCGGAGGAACAUGUGGUUUAAUUCGAUGAUACGCGAGGAACCUUACCCGGGCUUAAAUUGCAGAUGAAUUACGGUGAAAGCCGUAAGCCGCAAGGCAUCUGUGAAGGUGCUGCAUGGUUGUCGUCAGCUCGUGCCGUGAGGUGUCGGCUUAAGUGCCAUAACGAGCGCAACCCUUGUUGUCAGUUACUAACAGGUUCCGCUGAGGACUCUGACAAGACUGCCAUCGUAAGAUGUGAGGAAGGUGGGGAUGACGUCAAAUCAGCACGGCCCUUACGUCCGGGGCUACACACGUGUUACAAUGGGGGGUACAGAGGGCCGCUACCACGCGAGUGGAUGCCAAUCCCC